UACGUAGGGGGCUAGCGUUGUCCGGAUUUAUUUGGCGUAAAGAGCGUGUAGGCGGCCAGGUAGGUCUGCUGUGAAAACUCGAGGCUCAACCUCGAGACGUCGGCGGAAACCAUCUGGCUAGAGUCCGGAAGAGGAGAGUGGAAUUCCUGGUGUAGCGGUGAAAUGCGCAGAUAUCAGGAAGAACACCCGUGGCGAAGGCGGCUCUCUGGGACGGUACUGACGCUGAGACGCGAAAGCGUGGGGAGCGAACAGG
rnacentral:rRNA from 1 species